rnacentral:rRNA from 1 species
GAUGAGCGCUGGCGGCGUGCCUAACACAUGCAAGUCGAGCGAACCCUUCGGGGUGAGCGGCGGACGGGUGAGUAACGCGUGGGUAACCUGCCCUGUACACACGGAUAACAUACCGAAAGGUAUGCUAAUACGAGAUAAUAUAUUUUAAUCGCAUGGUUAAGAUAUCAAAGCUCCGGCGGUACAGGAUGGACCCGCGUCUGAUUAGCUAGUUGGUGAGGUAAUGGCUCACCAAGGCGACGACCAGUAGCCGACCUGAGAGGGUGAUCGGCCACACUGGAACUGAGACACGGUCCAGACUCCUACGGGAGGCAGCAGUGGGAAUAUUGCACAAUGGGCGAAAGCCUUAUGCAGCAACGCCGCGUGAGCGAUGAAGGCCUUCGGGUCGUAAAGCUCUGUCCUCAAGGAAGAUAAUGACGGUACUUGAGGAGGAAGCCCCGGCUAACUACGUGCCAGCCGCCGCGGUAA